CCUACGGGGGGCAGCAGUGGGGAAUAUUGGGCAAUGGGCGCAAGCCUGACCCAGCAACGCCGCGUGAAGGAAGAAGGCUUUCGGGUUGUAAACUUCUUUUGUCAGGGAAGAGUAGAAGACGGUACCUGAGGAAUAAGCCACGGCUAACUACGUGCCAGCAGCCGCGGUAAUACGUAGGUGGCAAGCGUUAUCCGGAUUUACUGGGUGUAAAGGGCGUGUAGGCGGGGAAGCAAGUCAGAUGUGAAAACCACGGGCUCAACCUGUGGCCUGCAUUUGAAACUGUUUUUCUUGAGUACUGGAGAGGCAGACGGAAUUCCUAGUGUAGCGGUGAAAUGCGUAGAUAUUAGGAGGAACACCAGUGGCGAAGGCGGUCUGCUGGACAGCAACUGACGCUGAGGCGCGAAAGCGUGGGGAGCAAACAGGAUUAGAUACCCCAGUAGUC
rnacentral:rRNA from 1 species